AUCCAGUUGACGAGUCCCAAAUAGAACGAAAUACGCGUCUUUCUGGAU
rnacentral:hammerhead_ribozyme from 1 species